rnacentral:rRNA from 1 species
GACGAACGCUGGCGGCGUGCCUAAUACAUGCAAGUCGAACGGUCUUUUCUAUGGAAGCUUGCUUCCGCUGAGAAGAUAGUGGCGAACGGGUGAGUAACACGUGGGUAACCUGCCCAUAAGAGGGGGAUAACAUCCGGAAACGGGUGCUAAUACCGCAUAGUUUUCUUGAUCGCAUGAUUGAGAAAGGAAAGACGGCCUUUGUGCUGUCGCUUAUAGAUGGACACGCGGCGUAUUAGUUAGUUGGUGAGGUAACGGCUCACCAAGACGAUGAUACGUAGCCGACCUGAGAGGGUGAUCGGCCACAUUGGGACUGAGACACGGCCCAAACUCCUACGGGAGGCAGCAGUAGGGAAUCUUCCGCAAUGGACGAAAGUCUGACGGAGCAACGCCGCGUGAGUGAAGAAGGUUUUCGGAUCGUAAAACUCUGUUGUCAGAGAAGAACAAGUCGGAGAGUGACUGCUCCGGCCUUGACGGUAUCUGACCAGAAAGCCACGGCUAACUACGUGCCAGCAGCCGCGGUAACAC